CAAGUGCUACAGCAACCUCCAGCUCCAGAGCAGCUUCGUCACCGACCAGAACCAGCCCCUGCCCAGGUUGAACGGUACCCAGGUGCUGCAGUACAGCCGGGACGUGCGGAAGCUCUACCUGAGCGUCAACAUCACCAACGUGCCCACCACCCCCUCCAACGGCGAGGAUGCCCACGAGGCGCUGCUCAACCUCACGGUGCCGGCCAGCCUGCUGCCCUCCUCCGUCCGCCCGAGCGGAGCCUGUACCUUUGCGGAGACGGUGCUGUGCGAGCUGGGCAACCCUUUUAAGAGGAACCAGAGGGCGGAGCUGAUCAUCACCUUCGAGGC